GACGAACGCUGGCGGCGUGCUUAACACAUGCAAGUCGAACGAUGAAGCCUUAGCUUGCUUUGGUGGAUUAGUGGCGAACGGGUGAGUAACACGUGAGCAACGUGCCCAGGACUCUGGAAUAACCGCGGGAAACCGUGGCUAGUACCGGAUAGGUGCCGAGGCCGCAUGGUCUUCGGUUGGAAAGUUUUUGCGGUUCUGGAUCGGCUCACGGCCUAUCAGCUUGUUGGUGGGGUAAUGGCCUACCAAGGCGACGACGGGUAGCCGGCCUGAGAGGGUGACCGGCCACACUGGGACUGAGACACGGCCCAGACUCCUACGGGAGGCAGCAGUGGGGAAUAUUGCACAAUGGGCGCAAGCCUGAUGCAGCAACGCCGCGUGGGGGAUGACGGCCUUCGGGUUGUAAACCUCUUUUAGUAGGGAAGAAGCGCAAGUGACGGUACCUGCAGAAAAAGCACCGGCUAACUACGUG
rnacentral:rRNA from 1 species